rnacentral:rRNA from 1 species
AGUCCACGCCGUAAACGGUGGGCACUAGUUGUGGGAACCUUCCACGGUUUCUGCGACGCAGCUAACGCAUUAAGUGCCCCGCCUGGGGAGUACGAUCGCAAGAUUAAAACUCAAAGGAAUUGACGGGGCCCCGCACAAGCAGCGGAGCAUGCGGCUUAAUUCGACGCAACGCGAAGAACCUUACCAAGGCUUGACAUAUACAGGAAUAUGGCAGAAAUUCCAUAGCCGCAAGGUCUGUAUACAGGUGGUGCAUGGUUGUCGUCAGCUCGUGUCGUGAGAUGUUGGGUUAAGUCCCGCAACGAGCGCAACCCUCGUUCUGUGUUGCCAGCAUUUAGUUGGGGACUCACAGGAGACUGCCGGGGUUAACUCGGAGGAAGGUGGGGAUGACGUCAAAUCAUCAUGCCCCUUAUGUCUUGGGCUGCACGCAUGCUACAAUGGCUGGUACAAACGGCUGCGAUACCGCAAGGUGGAGCGAAUCCGAUAAAGCCAGUCUCAGUUCGGAUUGGGGUCUGCAACUCGACCCCAUGAAGUCGGAGUUGCUAGUAAUCGUAGAUCAGCAACGCUACGGUGAAUACGUUCCCGGGGCUUGUACACACCGCCCGUCACGUCACGAAGUCGGUAACACCCGAAGUCAGUGGCCCAACCGUAAGGGGGGAGCUGCCGAAGGUG